rnacentral:tRNA from 2 species
AGAGAGGUGGCCGAGUGGCUUAAGGCGCACGCUUGGAAAGCGUGUAUAUGUUAAUAGCGUAUCGAGGGUUCGAAUCCCUUCCUCUCUG